rnacentral:rRNA from 1 species
AUUGAACGCUGGCGGAAUGCUUUACACAUGCAAGUCGAACGGCAGCACGGGGGCAACCCUGGUGGCGAGUGGCGAACGGGUGAGUAAUACAUCGGAACGUGCCCAGUCGUGGGGGAUAACGUAGCGAAAGCUACGCUAAUACCGCAUACGAACUCAGGUUGAAAGCGGGGGAUCGCAAGACCUCGCGCGAUUGGAGCGGCCGAUGGCAGAUUAGGUAGUUGGUGGGGUAAAGGCCUACCAAGCCGACGAUCUGUAGCUGGUCUGAGAGGACGACCAGCCACACUGGGACUGAGACACGGCCCAGACUCCUACGGGAGGCAGCAGUGGGGAAUUUUGGACAAUGGGCGCAAGCCUGAUCCAGCCAUUCCGCGUGCAGGAUGAAGGCCCUCGGGUUGUAAACUGCUUUUGUACGGAACGAAACGGUGCUGGUUAAUACCCGGCGCUAAUGACGGUACCGUAAGAAUAAGCACCGGCUAACUACGUGCCAGCCGCCGCGGUAAAAC